rnacentral:rRNA from 1 species
CGCGUAGGCGGGCUGUCAAGUUUGGGGUGAAAUCCCGCGGCUCAACCGUGGAACUGCCUCAAAUACUGACGGCCUCGAGGAAGGUAGGGGCAUGCGGAACUGUAGGUGGAGCGGUGAAAUGCGUUGAUAUCUACAGGAACUCCGGUGGCGAAAGCGGCGUGCUGGACCUUUUCUGACGCUGAGGCGCGAAAGCUAGGGGAGCAAACG